GACCCGAAACCCGGUGAUCUAGCCAUGGGCAGGUUGAAGGUUGGGUAACACUAACUGGAGGACCGAACCGACUAAUGUUGAAAAAUUAGCGGAUGACUUGUGGCUGGGGGUGAAAGGCCAAUCAAACCGGGAGAUAGCUGGUUCUCCCCGAAAGCUAUUUAGGUAGCGCCUCGUGAAUUCAUCUCCGGGGGUAGAGCACUGUUUCGGCAAGGGGGUCAUCCCGACUUACCAACCCGAUGCAAACUGCGAAUACCGGAGAAUGUUAUCACGGGAGACACACGGCGGGUGCUAACGUCCGUCGUGAAGAGGGAAACAACCCAGACCGCCAGCUAAGGUCCCAAAGUCAUGGUUAAGUGGGAAA
rnacentral:rRNA from 1 species